UACGUAGGGGGCUAGCGUUGUCCGGAAUCAUUGGGCGUAAAGCGCGUGUAGGCGGGUCGUUAAGUGUCCGAGUGAAAUCCCACGGCUCAACCGUGGAACUGCCGGGCAUACUGGCGAUCUUGAGGCAUUCAGGGGCGAGCGGAACAAAUGGUGGAGCGGUGAAAUGCGUAGAUAUCAGGAGGAACACCGGUGGCGAAGGCGGUUCUCUGGGCAUUACCUGACGCUGAGGAGCGAAAGCAUGGGGAGCGAACAGG
rnacentral:rRNA from 1 species